rnacentral:snRNA from 1 species
UCUUUGGCCUGGUUAACA